rnacentral:rRNA from 1 species
UCUACGGGAGGCAGCAGUAGGGAAUAUUCCUCAAUGGAGGAAACCCUGAAGCAGCAACGCCGCGUGGGGGAUGAAGGUUUUCGGAUUGUAAACUCCUGUUGUUAGAGAAGAUAAUGGCGGUAUCUAACUAAUCAUCCCCUGCUAACUCCGUUCCAGCAGCCGCGGUCAUACGGAGGGUGCAAGCGUUACUCGGAAUCACUGGGCGUAAAGAGCGCGUAGGCGGGAUAGCAAGUCAGAUGUAAAAUCCUAUGGCUUAACCAUAGAACUGCAUUUGAAACUGUUAGGCUAGAGUAUGGGAGAGGUAGGUGGAAUUCUUGGUGUAGGGGUAAAAUCCGUAGAGAUCAAGAGGAAUACUCAUUGCGAAGGCGACCUGCUAGAACAUAACUGACGCUGAUGCGCGAAAGCGUGGGGAGCAAACAGGAUUAGAUACCCUAGUAGUC